ACGACGGAUUGCAAGGUGUGAGCGAAAUACAAUAUUUCACAACUUUUUGGUAUUUAAAGGAAAAAACAAGACUUAAUUACUACAUUGUAAUGGCUGUACGUGCUCAAUUUGAAGGAAAUAAUGAAGUAGGCGUGUUUGCUAAACUGACAAACGCUUACUGUCUGGUUGCGAUCGGGGGAUCCGAAAAUUUUUACAGUGUGUUCGAAGGGGAAUUGUCUGAAGCCAUUCCCGUGGUCCACUGUAGCUUAGCAGGAUGCAGAAUCAUAGGUCGCAUGUGUGUGGGCAAGUAUUUUAAUUGAGAUAUGUUGAAUGUAAGAUCAGCAUAAUCUUGAGAUCAGCGUAACCUCUCUCACACACAAUCAUAAGAACAUGAAGAAUAUAUGGGGUUUUUUCCUAUGGCAGCUAUAGUCAAUCAUACUGAUUCAAUCGUCAGCACAGAUAGCUCAGUUGGUAGAGCACUGACUACGGAUUCAGGGAGCCUGGGUUUAAAUCCUUUUUUUCAUUAUCCCAAGACAAUUCUAUUGUCACCUAUUUAAUUUCUUGACGUCAGAUCCUUAGCAUAUUUGUGAAGAUCAUCAAUAGUACAAAUGUUCGAUUCAUAUAAAGUGUAAUAUGUCUCAUCAACCUUUGGUGUCCCCCGGCAUCCGUCUAAUUGCUCUAUAUAUUUAAAGAGUUUCACUUUUACAUGUAAAGAUCAUUUACUUGGUGAAUUGAAAUGAUGAAAAUUUAUGAAACCAACAGAACAUCAACAAGUUUGCCCACUGUCAGUGACCACAUGUUGAUGAAUUUUAGACAAUGACUUUAUUGUAUGUAUGCAUUAUAUUGAAAGAAGUUGGUUAAAAAGUAAUACUAAUUUUUCAUGAUUACAGGAAACAAAAACGGAUUAUUGGUACCAAGCUCAACAACAGAUCAGGAAUUACAGCAUAUUCGCAACUCUCUUCCUGACAGUGUCAAAAUCCAGCGGGUGGAGGAGAGGUUGUCUGCCCUUGGAAAUGUGAUCACAUGCAAUGAUUAUGUGGCCCUAGUUCAUCCAGAUCUGGACAGAGAGACGGAGGAGAUUGUGACAGAUGUCCUGGGGGUGGAGGUGUUUAGACAGACGGUGGCCGACAAUGUGUUAGUGGGAACCUACAGCACCAUCAGCAACCAGGGCGGACUGGUUCACCCAAAAACAUCGAUAGAAGACCUAGAAGAGUUAUCCUCCCUUUUACAAGUGCCCCUUGUGGUAAGGAACAGUGGCAGGUUUUCUCAAUAAGUGGAAAAUCUUCCUGAAAUUCCAGCACAUGAAUAAAAGUACAUGUAGAUGUAUUGAACCCUAGUACUGCAGAGGCUUUUAAGAUGUUACUUUCUGUAGGCAGGUACAGUGAAUAGAGGAAGUGAUGUAAUAGGAGCAGGGAUGACGGUCAACGACUGGAUCGCCUUCUGUGGCCUGGAUACCACCAGUACGGAGCUGUCCGUCAUAGAGAGCGUGUUCAAGCUCGGGGACAGGACGCCUAGUGCCAUCUCCACAGAAAUGCGCGAAAGUCUCAUCGAAAGUAUUGCCUAGGAGCGGUAUGGAUUCGUCAUAAGACAUUUAUCGUAGAUCAUAUUUCUGUGCCAGUUAUAUCUGUGAACCGCCAUCUGUACAGAGAAGAAAGUGAGGUGUUGGACUGACUGACCAGUUCAGACUUGUGUACAUAUAAACAGAUCUGAGUGACUGUUCUCAUCUUAUCUCAGUCAUCCUAUGUCUCAAAGGUUGUCAACCACAACAAUUAUAUUUUGUAAAUCAAAGAUUGUUCCAACAUCAUUAAAUGUAUCGGUAUUUUCUUCAAUGAAAUGAUAUAUUAAAUGAAGAUUGUUUAAACAUC
rnacentral:misc_RNA from 1 species